rnacentral:rRNA from 1 species
GAUGAACGCUGGCGGCGUGCUUAACACAUGCAAGUCGAACGAGAAGUGAAGACGGAACCCUUCGGGCGGAAGGCUUUAUUUCGAGUGGCGGACGGGUGAGUAACGCGUGGGUAACCUGCCUCAUACAGGGGGAUAACAGUUGGAAACGACUGUUAAUACCGCAUAAGACCACAGCACCGCAUGGUGCGGGGGUAAAAACUCCGGUGGUAUGAGAUGGACCCGCGUUCGAUUAGCCAGUUGGCGGGGUAACGGCCCACCAAAGCGACGAUCGAUAGCCGAUCUGAGAGGAUGACCGGCCACAUUGGGACUGAGACACGGCCCAAACUCCUACGGGAGGCGGCAGUGGGGAAUAUUGCACAAUGGGGGAAACCCUGAUGCAGCGACGCCGCGUGAGUGAAGAAGUAUUUCGGUAUGUAAAGCUCUAUCAGCAGGGAAGAAAAUGACGGUACCUGAGUAAGAAGCCCCGGCUAACUACGUG